UACGUAGGGGGCAAGCGUUGUCCGGAUUUAUUGGGCGUAAAGCGUGCGCAGGCGGCGCGUUAAGACAGGUGUGAAAGCCCCGAGCUUAACUUGGGAAUUGCGCUUGUGACUGGCGUGCUGGAGUGUGGCAGAGGGAGGUGGAAUUCCACGUGUAGCAGUGAAAUGCGUAGAGAUGUGGAGGAACACCGAUGGCGAAGGCAGCCUCCUGGGCCAGCACUGACGCUCAUGCACGAAAGCGUGGGGAGCAAACAGG
rnacentral:rRNA from 1 species